GAUGAACGCUAGCGGCAGGCCUAACACAUGCAAGUCGAGGGAGAAGCCCUUUCGGGGGCAGAAACCGGCGCACGGGUGCGUAACGCGUAUGCGACCUACCUUUCACAGGGGGAUAGCCCGAAGAAAUUUGGAUUAAUACCCCAUAAUAUUAUUGGAUGGCAUCAUUUGAUAAUUAAAACUGCGGUGGUGAAAGAUGGGCAUGCGUCCUAUUAGCUAGUUGGAGUGGUAACGGCACCCCAAGGCUACGAUAGGUAGGGGUCCUGAGAGGGAGAUCCCCCACACUGGUACUGAGACAGGGACCAGACUCCUACGGGAGGCAGCAGUGAGGAAUAUUGGUCAAUGGUCGGAAGACUGAACCAGCCAUGCCGCGUGCAGGAAGAAUGCCUUAUGGGUUGUAAACUGCUUUUAUAUGGGAAGAAUAAGGCGUACGUGUACGUUGAUGACGGUACCAUAUGAAUAAGCAUCGGCUAACUCCGUG
rnacentral:rRNA from 1 species